UGUAUUUUUGACAUCAGACAGAGGCAGCUAAUGCACACCUUCCAGGCACAUGACUCAGCUAUUAAGGCUUUGGCUCUGGAUUCCUGUGAGGAGUACUUCACUACAGGUUCAGCAGAAGGCAAUAUAAAAGUAAGUAUCCCAGGAGGUGAGACUAGACUAAACGUUAGUCCUUUCCUGCUGUCUAGACUGCUUGUUAGAAAAAGCACAACCAUUGUACUCUGAAAUGGACGUAUUGAGUAAGGCCUUCUGGGGGACUAGACGUUCUUGACGUGCCCCUAACUUCUGUGUGGCUCUUUCUAAAGCACUCUGCUUUGGAAAUCCAGCUAAUGAUUCAAUUUACUGGAACUCAGGCUACUGUUACUACGGGCCUGGAA
rnacentral:lncRNA from 1 species